rnacentral:rRNA from 1 species
UACGUAGGGCGCAAGCGUUAUCCGGAAUUAUUGGGCGUAAAGAGCUCGUAGGCGGUUUGUCGCGUCUGCUGUGAAAGACCGGGGCUCAACUCCGGUUCUGCAGUGGGUACGGGCAGACUAGAGUGCAGUAGGGGAGACUGGAAUUCCUGGUGUAGCGGUGAAAUGCGCAGAUAUCAGGAGGAACACCGAUGGCGAAGGCAGGUCUCUGGGCUGAUAACUGACGCUGAGGAGCGAAAGCAUGGGGAGCGAACAGG